rnacentral:rRNA from 1 species
UACGUAGGGUGCAAGCGUUGUCCGGAAUUAUUGGGCGUAAAGAGCUCGUAGGCGGUUUGUUGCGUCGGCUGUGAAAUCCCGAGGCUCAACCUCGGGUCUGCAGUCGAUACGAGCAAACUAGAGUGUUGCAGGGGAGACUGGAAUUCCUGGUGUAGCGGUGAAAUGCGCAGAUAUCGGGAGGAACACCAAUGGCGAAGGCAGCUUGCUGGGACGGUACUGACGCUGAGGCGCGAAAGCGUGGGGAGCAAACAGG